AUUUAACACUCGCGUCAUGCUUUACACAUGUAAGUCGAACGGUAACAGUCCUUCGUGUUCUGUCGAGUGGCGAACGGUGGAGUAAUGCAUCGGUACGUUCCCAGAGUUGGUGGAUAACUCAACGACAGCUUUGCUAAUACCGCAUGUGAUCUUAGCAUGAAAGCGGGCUACCAAGCCGCAAUGUUUGGCCUCGCGCCUUUGUAGCUGCUGAUGUCAGAUUAUUUAGUUGGUGGGUUAAAGGCCUACCAAGCAGACGAUGUGUAGCUGUUCUCAGAGGACUACCAGACACACUGGGAAUGAGACACGAACCAGACUCCUACGGGAGGCAGGAGUGGGGAAUUUUGGACAAUGGUGGAAAGAUUAAUCCAGCAAUGCAGCGUGCGGGAAGAAGGCCUUCGGGUUGUAAACCGCGUUUGUACGGAACGAAAAGGCUCUGGCUAAUACCUGGGGCUGAUGACGGUAACGUAAGAAUAAGCACCGGCUAACUACGUG
rnacentral:rRNA from 1 species